UCGAUUCCGUCCACUGUUUCAGGCCUCGUUCGCUAAUUGUUUCGCUUAAGCCAUGUGCUCGCCUGCGUCUCAGGUACAUCCGACUCAGGCCCGCAUGUGCGUUCGUGCCAUUUUGUUUCCACACUCAGUCCCGCAUUCAGCUCGCUUCCGCAUCGCUUGUCCCAACCGCAAGCCCAUGACCGUGCCACCAAAAUGUGGCAGCUCGCAUCCAUUUAAAUCUCUGAACUCGCUCGGACCCACACACGUGAAGACGCUCGCCUGCGGUUCACUUGAAGCCCGACCUGCACUUAAACGCACCAAAAUCAAAUUUUCUUCCCAACCACUGGGUCCCGCACCAAAUAACCACC
rnacentral:lncRNA from 1 species